rnacentral:rRNA from 1 species
AUGUCAAGUCAUCAUGGUUCUUACGGGUCGGGCCACAAACGUACUACAAUGGCGAUAACAAUGGGUCGCAAUGCCGCAAGGCAAAGCCAAUCCUUAAAUAUUGCCCCAGUUCAGAUUGCCCUCUGCAACUCGAGGACAUGAAGUCGGAAUUGCUAGUAAUCGCUGAUCAGAAUGCAGCGGUGAAUUCGUUCCCGGGUCUU